rnacentral:rRNA from 2 species
UUCUGUAAGCCUGCGAAGGUGGCCUGUGAGGGUUGCUGGAGGUAUCAGAAGUGCGAAUGCUGACAUAAGUAACGAUAAAGCGGGUGAAAAGCCCGCUCGCCGGAAGACCAAGGGUUCCUGUCCAACGUUAAUCGGGGCAGGGUGAGUCGACCCCUAAGGCGAGGCCGAAAGGCGUAGUCGAUGGGAAACGGGUUAAUAUUCCCGUACUUGGUGUUACUGCGAAGGGGGGACGGAGAAGGCUAUGUUGGCCGGGCGACGGUUGUCCCGGUUUAAGCGUGUAGGUGUGUGUUCCAGGUAAAUCCGGUU